rnacentral:rRNA from 1 species
CAAAAGUAGCCUCUGCAAGCAAGCUACUGUUUGAAGAUGGGCCCGCGUACCAUUAGCUUGUUGGUAGGGUAACGGCCUACCAAGGCAACGAUGGUUAGCUGGUCUGAGAGGAUGAUCAGCCACACUGGAACUGACACACGGUCCAGACUCCUACGGGAGGCAGCAGUGAGGAAUUUUGCGCAAUGGGCGAAAGCCUGACGCAGCAACGCCGCGUGAGUGAAGAAGGCUUUCGGGUCGUAAAGCUCUGUCAAGUGGGAAGAACCUGCGAUAUUUUAAUAGGGUAUUGCACUGACGGUACCACUGAAGGAAGCACCGGCUAACUCCGUGCCAGCAGCCGCGGUAAUACGGAGGGUGCGAGCGUUAUUCGGAAUUACUGGGCGUAAAGGGCGCGUAGGCGGUUUUUUAAGUCAGAUGUGAAAGUCCCGGGCUUAACCCUGGAAGUGCAUCUGAUACUGGAAGGCUUGAGUAUGGGAGAGGGAAGUGGAAUUCCUGGUGUAGCGGUGAAAUGCGUAGAUAUCAGGAGGAACACCCUGUGGCGAANGCGACUUCCUGGNACCAAUACUGACGCUGAUGCGCGAAGGCGUGGGGAGCAAACAGGAUUA